rnacentral:rRNA from 1 species
AACGAACGCUGGCGGCAUGCCUAACACAUGCAAGUCGAACGAGACCUUCGGGUCUAGUGGCGCACGGGUGCGUAACGCGUGGGAACCUGCCCUUAGGUUCGGAAUAACUCCCCGAAAGGGGUGCUAAUACCGGAUAAUGUCUUCGGACCAAAGAUUUAUCGCCUUUGGUUGGGCCCGCGUUGGAUUAGCUAGUUGGUAGGGUAAAAGCCUGCCAAGGCGACGAUCCAUAGCUGGUCUGAGAGGAUGAUCAGCCACACUGGGACUGAGACACGGCCCAGACUCCUACGGGAGGCAGCAGUGGGGAAUAUUGGACAAUGAGCGAAAGCCUGAUCCAGCAAGGCCGCGUGAGUGAUGAAGGCCUUAGGGUUGUAAAGCGCUUUUACCCGGGAUGAUAAUGACAGUACCGGGAGAAUAAGCUCCGGCUAACUCCGUG